AUUGAACGCUGGCGGCAUGCCUUACACAUGCAAGUCGAACGGCAGCACGGGUGCUUGCCCCUGGUGGCGAGUGGCGCACGGGUGAGUAAUACAUCGGAACAUGUCCUGUAGUGGGGGAUAGCCCGGCGAAAGCCGGAUUAAUACCGCAUACGAUCUACGGAUGACAGCGGGGGACCUUCGGGCCUCGCGCUUUAGGGUCGGCCGAUGGCUGAUUAGCUAGUUGGUGGGGUAAAGGCCUACCAAGGCGACGAUCAGCAGCCGGUCUGAGAGGGCGAUCAGCCACACUGGGACUGAGACACGGCCCAGACUCCUACGGGAGGCAGCAGUAGGGAAUUUUGGACAAUGGGCGAAAGCCUGAUCCAGCAAUGCCGCGUGUGUGAAGAAGGCCUUCGGGUUGUAAAGCACUUUUGUCCGGAAAGAAAACCUUGGCCCUAAUACGGUCGGGGGAUGACGGUACCGGAAGAGUAAGCACCGGCUAACUACGUG
rnacentral:rRNA from 1 species